CCUACGGGUUGCAGCAGUGAGGAAUAUUGGUCAAUGGACGAGAGUCUGAACCAGCCAAGUAGCGUGAAGGAUGACUGCCCUAUGGGUUGUAAACUUCUUUUAUAUGGGAAUAAAAUGUUCCACGUGUGGGAUUUUGUAUGUACCAUAUGAAUAAGGAUCGACUAACUCCGUGCCAGCAGCCGCGGUAAUACGGAGGAUCCGAGCGUUAUCCGGAUUUAUUGGGUUUAAAGGGAGCGUAGGCGGAUUGUUAAGUCAGUUGUGAAAGUUUGCGGCUCAACCGUCACAUUGCAGUUGAAACUGGGAGUCUUGAGUACGGUAGAGGUGGGCGGAAUGCGUGGUGUAGCGGUGAAAUGCUUAGAUAUCACGAAGAACUCCGAUUGCGAAGGCAGCGCACUGGACUGCAACUGACGCUGAGGCUCGAAAGUGUGGGUAUCGAACAGGAUUAGAUACCCCUGUAGUC
rnacentral:rRNA from 1 species